CUUAACCGACUGAGCCACCCAGGUGCCCCUGUGUGUAUCUCUUUAAGAUGAUUAAUGUGUAUGUCUUAACUUGUGUCCUUUGGCUACGAAUCAAAGAAGAAGUGCGAGGACCCAGGAAAAGUGUUUUCUUACCUGCACUACAUUUGGAUAAAGGGCGGCACACAGCAUUGCUGAUAUCAGCUUGGGGUUCUCAGCAUUUGAGUUUGCCUACGAGAAAAAGACAGCGUUGAUCUUAUAAGUAAUGUGACUACUUCUGUUUGUACCCUGGAACUUAUCAUUACAUUUCAUUUGAUUUCUAUCUUAAAACAAAACUAAAAUGCCUCAUUUCUAUCUUUGUGGUAGAAAAAUUCUUCCUAAGUGAAAAAACAGGUCCACUGGACCAUACGUGUAUAGGGCCCGCUCCAAGAAGCCCACAGUUAACUCUGGGUCUCUGGGAAGCAGCUACAAAGCCAGUGCUCCUAAGGACCAACGAGAGAGACUCUGGUUCAGGAGAUGUUCAUUAUCUGCAGAAAGUGCGACUGCACUGAGAACACGGGGCAUCAGGUUCAUCUUGAAGAAGCGUUCUUCCUACAGUCAUUGAAAAAACUAUCCUUGGUUGGAAAAAGGCGGGUGUGAUUUAAGAAGACAUUUCAGGAGUGUCCACCUGACACUUAUUGUGGAGAGAAAAUCAAGAAUGUCACCACUCACUGCCCCACUGCUCACAGCGCUUAGGUGAAGAAUGCCUAAAAUGUUCAUGUGCUGAUUAAAGAGAAAUAAAAGCUCUAACUAUA